AGGGAUGUAGCUCAGAUGGUUAGAGUGCCGGCCUGUCACGCCGGAGGUCGCGGGUUCGAGCCCCGUUAUCCCUG
rnacentral:tRNA from 3 species